UUUUGGUGCUGGGGAUAAAACCCAGGACCUCAUGCAUACCAGGAAACUGCUCCACAACAGAGCCACAUUCCCAGCUCCCUCUGGCAACUCUUUCUGAAGCUGUUUCCUCUGAGGAUGGGCAAGGAACUCAGAAAACAGUCUUGGAGAUUGGCAGGAUGCCUGAGGCAUCCAGAUGGUAUUUGGUAUUCUCUAGGUGGCCACUGGGAGGCGCCAAAAGGCUCCUGCUUCACUCACUUCUGUGGGUACCUCAGGGGAUCUGGUUUGAGGAGACCACUUGCAGAGUUGGGGGACAGAGAGCAUGGAGACCAAAGGAGUAGCUGAUCCUGGUCUGCGGGGGCUGUUUGAAAAUAUCCAGGUGAAGAGAGGUUGAGGGUUUGAAAAUGAUUUGGUCUUCCCGUGCAUAGAACCAGAACAGAUGGCCACAUGCCCAUAUGCAGAGGUCACCAUCAGCAAGGGGCCUCCUGCAAGGGUAUUAUUUCCAGGGUUGGUCACCCUGUUCCAUGAACAGUGAAGGGACUUGUGCAUUUCGGGACAGCUCGAAAAACUACAAAAGCUAUGAAAACAAUCAAGUGGGUACUGUUUCCACCUAACCCAUUGGCAAAGUUCCAAACAUCGAGGACUGACACUUGGGAUGGGGGUGGGGGUGUCAUGAAAUAACUUCUCUCCUAUGCUGCUCGUGGGAAUCUAGGCUGGAACAACACCCUUGGAAGACAAUCUGGCAAUAGCCAGCCAAACUCAAAGGCACAUUUCCAUUUCUAGCAAUUUACGCUCUUCACACAUAUGUCACCUGGGAGCACUCCUUAUAAAAUUGGGGGAAAUAUUUGUCUAUAAUAUGGAACUUGUGAAAUAAAGGAUAGACAUGCACACGGCAGAAUCCCAUUCUUGGUACAAAGAGAGGUUCUGGGGAGCCACACCCAAGACCACCACCAGGGACCCCAGUUUUUCACCAUUUGUGAGCCUUUCCAGCCGUCAGCGAUGGCUUGCUCCAGCUCUUCCCAGGUGACCAUGGUGGCUUCUUCUGCACCAGGAACGGAACCCAGCUUCCAGUUUAUUUGUUCCUGACAAUAACAAUAGUACACUUACACACAUUACCCCUAAUCGUAGGACGGACGGCUUAGGAACAGGAUGUGUGGAUCCAUCCACAGCCCUAGCCCCAGGAAGAAUUCACCAUCCUUCAAGUGACCAACCAGUCUUGGGCAGCCAGUUCUUUGUCCCUUGUGAGUUCCCAAUUCAUGGUCAGGGAUGGAAAGGAUUUCCCCCUCAAUCCAGGGGCACCACCCUGCUCUGGGGCCCAGUCCUAGAGUGAAGCCAGUCUGAGGACAGCCCCCCAGCCCAGAGAGCGUUUUCCCCAGAGCUCGCUCAUAUUACCAGGACUUCAUCUCGAUCUUUGAUUUGCUUCUCAAGGUCUUCAAUUCGGUGGAGGACUUCCUGGAGACAGAGUUCAGAGAAGGAGCAUUAGGCAGCUCUCCUGGCGCCCCUAUGUGUGUGCACACACAUGCACACACAGACACACUCACAGUGACUCAGAAUGAGGGAAAAGAGGGAAGGAGGUGUGUGUGGCUCUUAGGACAAAAGAGGGUUCCUAGUUUCUACCUGAUUUUUUGCCUGGUCAGUAAGCCCAAGCUUCCAGGUCUUUCCCCAACCAACAGAGGAAGGGAAGUGGACAGCACUGAGGGUGGUACUGUGUGUAAGACAUCAUGCCAAGAGUUAGUGCCAGUGCAGGGGAGGGAACCAUCGAUCCUGGUUCAUCUCAUGCGACCCUCUAUCAAAGCCUUCCAGGACUGCAGCAGGAGGUCCACCUUGCCUCACAAGGAGCAAGGACCAGAAACCUCGGCGGUGUAUGCUGGCUGAGAAGAAUCCUCAAGAGAAUCCAAGCCAACUGCUAAAGCGUCCACCAUCCACAACCUGACACAUGCCUUGAAAUAAGAGCAUGUGUCUGUUAUCACCUUUGUCGGAAUUGCUGGGUGUUUCCUACCGUGCAUCAGAUAUAGGCUAUGCUGAAGCAUUUACAUAUACUUCACCCUCCAGAAACCUGGAAGUCCAGCUGAAACUGACUGAUCCCACAUGCUGCAGCUCCUGUCUGUAACCAAGACAUUGUUGUCUAAUUCCUCCUCCCACCUCCCCUUCUGUGCACUGGCCUUUGGUCUUCAAUGCCUGCCAACUGAUUAUUUAAUAUCAAUUAAUUUAGCAAUAUUAGGGAUGGAA